rnacentral:rRNA from 1 species
CCAAUAGCGUAUAUUAAAGUUGUUGCAGUUAAAAAGCUCGUAGUUGAAUUUCGGGAUCAAUUUGUUGGUCGUGCCUCGGUACGUACUGGCAUUAUUGAUUUCUCCCUUCUGAAGAACCACGAUGUCAUUAAUUUGGUGUCGUGGGGAAUCAGGACUGUUACUUUGAAAAAAUUAGAGUGUUUAAAGCAGGCUCACGCUUGAAUACAUUAGCAUGGAAUAAUGAAAUAGGACGUUUGAUUCUAUUUUGCUGGUUUCUAGGAUCGACGUAAUGAUUAAUAGGGAUAGUUGGGGGCAUUAGUAUUCAAUUGUCAGAGGUGAAAUUCUUGGAUUUAUUGAAGACUAACUACUGCGAAAGCAUUUGCCAAGGAUGCUUUCAUUAAUCAAGAACGAAAGUUAGGGGAUCGAAGACGAUCAGAUACCGUCGUAGUCUUAACCAUAAACUAUGCCGACUAGGGAUCGGAUGAUGUUAAUUUUUUAAUGACUCAUUCGGCGCCUUACG